rnacentral:rRNA from 1 species
GACGAACGCUGGCGGCGUGCCUAAUACAUGCAAGUCGAACGGUCUUUUCUAUGGAAGCUUGCUUCCGCUGAGAAGAUAGUGGCGAACGGGUGAGUAACACGUGGGUAACCUGCCCUCAAGCGGGGGAUAACACUUGGAAACAGGUGCUAAUACCGCAUAACAAUCAGAAUCGCAUGAUUUUGAUUUGAAAGGCGCUUUUGCGUCACUUGAGGAUGGACCCGCGGUGCAUUAGCUAGUUGGUGAGGUAACGGCUCACCAAGGCCACGAUGCAUA